GGCCCUGGAGGAGAAAUACGAGGCUCUCAGAGACAGACUGCUGGUCUUUGCCCUGAAAUUACAGCAUCAGGAAGAGUGGAAAGAGUUCACCACAGAAGACAAGACCAGGCUGCUGGUCAAACACAGGCAGGAGGAGAAGAGACUGAGACAAGAGGGGAAAGUGGAUGACAUGGCUGCAUUCCUGGGACAGGCAGCUAGGGAGUUGAAACUGAGGGCUCUGCUGGGAGAGAGCCGAGAAGAGUUUGCCAGCAGACUGGAGACUCAGUUUGAAGAGUAUGAGAAAAGAGUGUUACAGGGCCUUCCAGAGCCUACUGAAGAACCUGAUGAAGAACCAGAGGCCGAAUCCAAAGUGUCCAAUCCUCUUGCUGAGUUACAGCAAAGGUU